rnacentral:rRNA from 1 species
UACAGAGGUCUCAAGCGUUGUUCGGAUUCAUUGGGCGUAAAGGGUGCGUAGGUGGCGCCGUAAGUCAGGUGUGAAAUUUCGGAGCUUAACUCCGAAACUGCAUUUGAUACUGCGGUGCUUGAGGACUGGAGAGGAGACUGGAAUUCACGGUGUAGCAGUGAAAUGCGUAGAUAUCGUGAGGAAGACCAGUGGCGAAGGCGGGUCUCUGGGCAGUAACUGACGCUGAGGAGCGAAAGCGUGGGUAGCAAACAGG